AUAGAGCAUUGCAAUUAUUGCUCUUCAACGAGGAAUCCCCUAGUAAGCGCAAGUCAUCAGCUGGCGUUGAUUACGUCCCUGCCCUUUGUACACACCGCCCGUCGCUACUACCGAUUGAAUGGCUCAGUGAGGCUUUCGGACUGGCCCAGGGAGGUCGGCAACGACCACCCAGGGCCGGAAAGUUAUCCAAACUCGGUCAUUUAGAGGAAGUAAAAGUCGUAACAAGGUCUCCGUUGGUGAACCAGCGGAGGGAUCAUUA
rnacentral:rRNA from 1 species